CCAAUAGCGUAUAUUAAAGUUGUUGCAGUUAAAAAGCUCGUAGUUGAAUUUCGGGAUCAAUAUGUCGGUCGUGCCUCGGUACGUACUGGCGUCAUUGGUUUCUCCCUUCUGAAGAACCGCGUUGUCAUUAAUUUGGUGUCGUGGGGAAUCAGGACUGUUACUUUGAAAAAAAUUAGAGUGUUUAAAGCAGGCUCGCGCUUGAAUACAUUAGCAUGGAAUAAUGAAAUAGGACGUUUGAUUCUAUUUUGUUGGUUUCUAGGAUCGACGUAAUGAUUAAUAGGGAUAGUUGGGGGCAUUAGUAUUCAAUUGUCAGAGGUGAAAUUCUUGGAUUUAUUGAAGACUAACUACUGCGAAAGCAUUUGCCAAGGAUGUUUUCAUUAAUCAAGAACGAAAGUUAGGGGAUCGAAGACGAUCAGAUACCGUCGUAGUCUUAACCAUAAACUAUGCCGACUAGGGAUCGGAUGAUGUUGAUUUUUUAAUGACUCAUUCGGCGCCUUACG
rnacentral:rRNA from 1 species